ACUCUAUUACUCAAUGAUUGGUGUGUGGCUUUUGACCUACAUUCACUAGUUCGUGUUCUCAAAUGCUCACCAGUUCUUGAGAAACUCACUCUUCAGCUUCUUAAUGACAGGGACGUUGUAAGCACAGUGGGAGUCGAAGGACACCAUGAUCCAGAACUAUCAUCUCUAUGAGAAGGUUCACAAGGCUUGGAAUAUCUUGAGGACAUGUGGCAUAGUUCCAGAGAAAAUCUGCAUCAAAACUUGACAGUCAAGCUUGAACAAAAAGUUAACUAUUGUCAUUCUUCAUGAUUGGCUUGAGAUUUGGGAAGAAUCCACGGUAGAUGCUUCCGUCUAAUGCGGAGAUGCCACCAUGCCUUCAGUUACUGAUGGCGACUAAGCCAUGCCUUUGGUUCGCAUUGUUGCCUUAAGAUUCUGUCUGUCUAAAGAACCUGAAUGGCGGUGUGUUGAGCAUUAUCAGUACCUCUACUCUGGCUUUCGUAUCCUUCUUUGAUUAUUACUGAAAUUUAGGCUAAGUUUGCUG